UACGAAGGGGGCUAGCGUUGCUCGGAAUGACUGGGCGUAAAGGGCGCGUAGGCGGUUUGUACAGUCAGGUGUGAAAUUCCCGGGCUCAACCUGGGGGCUGCACUUGAUACGUAGGAACUGGAGUGGGGAAGAGGGUCGUGGAAUUCCCAGUGUAGAGGUGAAAUUCGUAGAUAUUGGGAAGAACACCGGUGGCGAAGGCGGCGACCUGGUCCUUGACUGACGCUGAGGCGCGAAAGCUAGGGGAGCAAACGGG
rnacentral:rRNA from 1 species